CUUGCCUCAGGUGAUCAAUCAGUGGUUCAGGCCGUGACUCCACAGUUCCCAUACACAGGCAUUUAAGCAAUGGGUGCUUUUACAGCUACGGUUUUGCACGUAACACUGCUGUUGGAGGGGAUUGCCAAGCCUUUGUUUUGUCACCAAGGUAGCUUUUCCUCCUUGUACUAACUUUCCCCAGAUACUCUGGACCGUGACUUUAGUUUUAGCGCUUUUAGAGGAGUUUUAAAAAAGCAUGUUAAACUUUCUUGUAUUAAAAUGGGUCGGCUAAUAUGCUUUCUUGCACUAAAUAACUAUAAAAACAUCAAAGGUUUGGAUAACUGUUAGCUGUGUAUUUUGUAAUGCCUAUUGUAUUUCCAUUUUGUUAGCUCUAUUUAAAGAGCGGUAUUAUCAUGCCCCAUUUCCUGUUAGAUAGUUCUAUUUGUCUGCACUACAGGAGGCAGGAGAUUUUAGGUCCAGAAGAAAUUAUCUCUCAGUAAAUUACUCCUAACUCCAUUACUGAAUACUAAGCACUCUCCCCUGGCUGUGCGAGCAGCUUGAAGAGAUAACAUUGCAAUUUAUUUAUUUGUUUUGUCCCACGUAUAUAGGUGACACACGGACUCAUCUGAGCAGAGACAGCGAUAACUGACAGGUACAUUAGAUCAGACACAUAUAGCAAAGUUUACUUUGAUUAUGUAGUAAGUGUGAAGACGUACGGUAGCUGAUGUCAGUUUGAUCUCUCUUAUAGUAUAUAAUGGCUUGUCUCUUUCAUGGCUGAAUGGACACUAAUUUUUGUCUAAUAGGUAAGCUAUCAGCUGAGAGUGUUUUAGAGAGUAGCCAGAGGUUUUUUUUAUCCUACUGAAAGGGAAACCAUUCGUGAAAUUAUUUUAAAAUUUGUUUGGAUUGCUUGUUGUAUUCAUUUUUCUCCUUCUCAAGUCCUCUGUUUACUCAAAGGUACUAAAGGUACAAUAUUUCUGAAGGACCUGCUGUGAAUCUAUUGCAAUGUGUAUGAGACCUUUCCAUAUUAAAAUAGUUGCAGAGAACUGAAUAUAUUCAGUCUGUUUUCAUGUGUGUCUGCCAAACUGCAAAGUCUCUGCACCACUUUUUAAAUUAUAAAGGGAAAGGAGAAGCCAUGUUCUGAUAUUAUGACCCCUUUUCUACUCCCUUCUGGGCAACGUAGGAAGGAUCUAAGACCGCAGUGUUUGUAGAUGGUAUGUUUUCUUAUAGUUGUGUGGCCAUGAUUCUGGUUCCAUUUAUGAAAAAUACCUUUUUAAAAUACAGUUUGCGAGGCGUAAUAUAACAGAUCUAUAAUGUAUUUACAUUAAAAAUUGAUAAGCUCUGGAAGGGAAGAAAAAUGUUCCGUGUGUUGUGGCACAAAGGCAAUUCCAGCAGAAACUCUUAUGAGGAGCAGUCGCUUCUAAAUUUUGGAGAUGUCCAUUUAAGAGAGGAAAAGAAAAUCAAAUUUUUGGUUACUGCAAGUGUGAUAGAAUUAUUAACAUCUCUGCACCCUGCUAUGUGUAAGCUCAUGGACUCAGGCUUAUUUCAGCAUGCUUCCCUCUUGUUUCUCACUAACAGGUUGAGCUGUUUUAGCUCUAAUUCAAGUGAUGCCGAGUGAGGUGCUAAUCCCUGGCAUGUGUGGAGCUUGUUCUUGUUCAUUGGGUUUUUUGUCUUUCUACCUAAGUCAUUACUGGUGUGUAGAACUUCUCAUGGAAAAACAUUGUGUCACUGGGGAUGACGGGGACAUGUAACAGUGAAUGGACACCACCUUGUCAAAAUCAGGAUGGAGAAGAUGUCUUUUCUUUCUGUUGGAUCCAAAUAUUCUUCCGUAAGCAAAUCUGCUGAAUGCUUCAGUUUUGAGGCUGUAAAGAAUUGUGUCAAUAUGCCUUUGCAUAUUUUUUUUUGCAAAGGGUCUGAUAGCAGAAAACAAAACAAACCUUAAUAAUAAUAAGGCUUAAUUUUAAUCACAAAAGGGGGAUGCUUUUUAGACACUUCACAGAUGUUAAAUAUUGAAAACUUCUGUUGACAUAGAAAUAUGAAUGUUUGUAUCAUUUCCUGAGGUAUCACUCUGUUUCCUUUGCCUGUCGCAUGUGAGAAGUGUACCUUGACUUGCAUUAAAUAAGUUAUUGGAGGCUACUUUCCUCUGCCCUCAGUGGGAAGGUGUUUGCUUCAGAUGAGCACUGUGGGUUUCCAGCCUUUUUCAGUUUACAGACUGGAAGGUUUCACAACUGCAAGUUUCAGAACUAACUGAGCCUGCAGAGUAGGGGCGAAGCAGUGAACUGAAGGACAUUUUCAAGUGAAUUGUGAUAUUGUCUAAUAGUGAAUUGUCCCUCUAUUUCCACUGGGCUAUGAUUGAUGUCCUUACGGUGUGACUGAAGUUCCUGUACCUUGGCUGCUGCUGGCCAGCUCAUAUAGUCACCAAGGUUGGAAAAGACCUCCAAGAUCACCUAGUCCAACUGUCCAUCUGUUAAACCUGCUAUACCAUGUCUCUUAGUACCACAUCUGCACACCACACCUCCUGGCCGUGAUCUCAACUGAAGCUCAAGACCAGCUUGUGGAAGCUGUGGUCAUUGUGGAUCUGCACCACAGAUGUGUAUUUGUCUUUAGCCAUUAGUAAUGGCCAUGUCUGUGCUAGAAACAACCAGUGGGGUUCUCUCCUGCUGUCACUUGGGCUUGGGAUGAGAAAUUGAGAUGCAGGUUGUGUUCUUGUUUUUAAAAUCAAAACUUUCCUGUACACUCUAGUAGUGCCUUGAGCUGCUCUUUUCAUGUCCUUGGUGCUGUUCGUUAGCUGUCCUUAGCAGUCCCUUCUGUUCUGCUUAGGAGAAUUGCUUGUUUGGAGACCUGGGCUCAGAGGAGUGCACUCCAUGAAUUCCCCAAGCAGAAGCCCCACUGUGUGGCUGGGAGCAGUGAGUGAAUGUCUUCCAUCUCCUCCUCUGUCCUCCAUGUGCAGCUCCCUGCUCCUUCUCUGUCUUAGUUAGAAGGUGAAAGCUUACUGUGCCACUGCUAAAACCCCAGAAAAAAGUUUUAUUGCUUCAGUCAGCAACUUCUCGACUAGAUCAGUUUGAGAACAUACCAGCAGAAGUAAGACUUAGCUGUUUCUGAUAACUUACUGAUGAGAAACCGUCUUCAAGCUCUUCUCAUACAUUAACAUGGCUGCUUGCUUCACUUAUUUUCCUGUAUUCUCUUUGGGAUAUAUAGAAAAUAAGGCUAUAAUAAUGUUGUCCUCUCUUGUCUUCUUUCACAAACAUUAAUCCCAUGAUUUUUUAUCAGUACAAAAUAACCCUGGAGAUAGGGCAGGCUGUGGAUCAGCUUGUAUGAAACUAGAAAACUGAAAUUAUUAUGCUUAAUUGUGUGUGAAAGUCAACUUUUGUCAAAAUCUCUAGCUGUGACUGGGUUCUUACAAAAUGCAAUGUAUUCUUUUCUUUAGCAGAUCACCUAAAUGCAUUUUACUAGCAACCCUUCUGAACCAGAUGAAACUGUAAUUCAAGCUGUCUUGUCUGCUUCUGCUUUAGUUCACAAUAAUGUCACUAUGCAGCUCACACCAAAGACUUAAGUUUUUAUUUGGACAGCUACAUCAAGUAUUUUGUCCUAGUUUUUCUGCAGAUCAUUAUUGAUAAGGUAGCUUCUCUAAAAUAAUAAAAUCCACAAUCUUCCAUUCUAGUGUGUGUAUAUAUAUAUAUAUUUUAAUGUAAAAGUUUUUCUACUCCAUCAGUGUGACUUUGCAGCUCAUUCCAAUCUUUCAGUGACCUCCCACCGGCCUUCGUGAAGCAGUUCCUCUCCAGCUGGAAUAGUCGGAGAUUUCCGUUCAAGGAAACAUCAGAAGAUGAAAAUGAGGGCAGUAGCCUUACUGGACCUUCAGUGGCAGCUCUGCGACCCGUGUUCCCUUGGGCCUCCUGCCCACCCCUAUAUAUGGCUUCCAUUUCCCUGCAGUAGAAAUGGUUUGGACACUUGCAAUCCUCUGCAAUGGGAGAAAUUUGCAGUGUGAGACAACUUUUGAUAAACAAGUUGAGCAGGAUUAUAACUGGACUGGAGAAGAGUUUAUAGAUGGAAAGCCUGUAAGUAGAGAAAUUCUUAUUUACCUGUUUAAAGUUAGCAGAUCUCUCUUUCCGAGUGGCAGCACAUCCAGAUUUAUCCUUCAGAAUAAGGAGGAAAGUAACUCCUAUGGUUGGCAAAUUUGCAGUGAGGACCCCAUUACAAGCUGCUGGUAUAUGUUAUAUGUUGUCUCAUAUAACUUGAAAUAAAGGAAUCACUCACACAUUCAUAAUCAAUACAAUUACCACUACUUU